GACGAACGCUGGCGGCGUGCCUAAUACAUGCAAGUAGAACGCUGAAGGAGGAGCUUGCUUCUCUGGAUGAGUUGCGAACGGGUGAGUAACGCGUAGGUAACCUGCCUGGUAGCGGGGGAUAACUAUUGGAAACGAUAGCUAAUACCGCAUAAGAGUAGAUGUCGCAUGACAUUUGCUUAAAAGUUGCAAUUGCAUCACUACCAGAUGGACCUGCGUUGUAUUAGCUAGUUGGUGAGGUAACGGCUCACCAAGGCAACGAUACAUAGCCGACCUGAGAGGGUGAUCGGCCACACUGGGACUGAGACACGGCCCAGACUCCUACGGGAGGCAGCAGUAGGGAAUCUUCGGCAAUGGACGGAAGUCUGACCGAGCAACGCCGCGUGAGUGAAGAAGGUUUUCGGAUCGUAAAGGUCUGUUGUAAGAGAAGAACGAGUGUGAGAGUGGAAAGUUCACACUGUGACGGUAUCUUACCAGAAAGGGACGGCUAACUACGUG
rnacentral:rRNA from 1 species